GGCCCUUUGGCCCAAUGGUAAGGCGUCUGACUACGACCUGGCGCGUACGCAGAAACGUGCGGCUUGGAUACGUGAUCAGGAGAUUCUCGGUUCGAGCCCAAGGAGGGUCA